rnacentral:rRNA from 1 species
AUACGUAGGGGGCGAGCGUUGUCCGGAAUGAUUGGGCGUAAAGGGCGCGUAGGCGGCCCGGUAAGUCUGGAGUGAAAGUCCUGUUUUUAAGAUGGGAAUUGCUUUGGAUACUGUCGGGCUUGAGUGCAGGAGAGGUGAGUGGAAUUCCCAGUGUAGCGGUGAAAUGCGUAGAGAUUGGGAGGAACACCAGUGGCGAAGGCGACUUACUGGACUGUAACUGACGCUGAGGCGCGAAAGUGUGGGGAGCAAACAGGAUUAGAUACCCUGGUAGUCCACACUGUAAACGAUGAAUGCUAGGUGUAGGGGGUAUCGACCCCUUCUGUGCCGCAGUCAACACAAUAAGCAUUCCGCCUGGGGAGUACGGCCGCAAGGUUGAAACUCAAAGGAAUUGACGGGG